rnacentral:misc_RNA from 1 species
CGCUAAAAUUAUUCAUAUAUAAUCGUUUCGUUCUUAUUAUCUGUAUCUUCUUUAACAAUGUCACUGAGUAUUAUCUUUCUUUGCUCAUCUGCUAUGGCGUUCUACCCAUGUCUUUCUUUAACUUUUAACGUUUCUCUUAAGUCUUAUUUAUAUUUGUGGGAUCUUGCCGCUCGUUUCUUCCAUCGUUAAAUCAUCGUUACCUGAAGUUUUAUCUUUAGACAAACGUUUACACACGUUACGAAUGUUGUCUUCGUAUAAUGGAGGAUAAUGAAGUGUAUUUGUUUGUGAAUUUAACGAUGAUUGGAUCGCGUCUCGUUUACAAUCUCUGGUAUACGUAUAUUCACCAUUUGUACACUACCGGCGUGCGACUACACGAGAUCGGAUCGAAAACAAUUUUUACUUUAUACUUUUGCAUUUUUAAUAGUAAAAAUAUAGCUUCGGGAAAAAGUAAUCUGUGCUAUCGUUCAAACCACUAUUACGCUUACUUUACACACAUGAUAACAUGAACUGGAUAUUGGGAAAAUCUCUACUUCGUUAUCAAGUACAUACAACCGUAUACGUAGAUGAAAACAGACUGGAAAAAAAUGUAAAAAGAAAAAAUGAAAAAAAUGCGCACAGAGUAUAAAGGAAACUAACCCUUAAAAGAUAAUACUUGU